rnacentral:tRNA from 1 species
GGGGGUGUAGCUCAUGUGGUAGAGCGCUCGCUUCGCAUGUGAGAGGCCCCGGGUUCGAACCCCGGCACCUCCA